rnacentral:rRNA from 1 species
AUGCAAGUCGAGCGGUUGAGGGGAGCUUGCUCCCUGAUUCAGCGGCGGACGGGUGAGUAAUGCCUAGGAAUCUGCCUAUUAGUGGGGGACAACGUUUCGAAAGGAACGCUAAUACCGCAUACGUCCUACGGGAGAAAGCAGGGGACCUUCGGGCCUUGCGCUAAUAGAUGAGCCUAGGUCGGAUUAGCUUGUUGGUGAGGUAAUGGCUCACCAAGGCGACGAUCCGUAACUGGUCUGAGAGGAUGAUCAGUCACACUGGAACUGAGACACGGUCCAGACUCCUACGGGAGGCAGCAGUGGGGAAUAUUGGACAAUGGGCGAAAGCCUGAUCCAGCCAUGCCGCGUGUGUGAAGAAGGUCUUCGGAUUGUAAAGCACUUUAAGUUGGGAGGAAGGGUUGUAGAUUAAUACUCUGCAAUUUUGACGUUACCGACAGAAUAAGCACCGGCUAACUCUGUGCCAGCAGCCGCGGUAAUACAGAGGGUGCAAGCGUUAAUCGGAAUUACUGGGCGUAAAGCGCGCGUAGGUGGUUUGUUAAGUUGGAUGUGAAAGCCCCGGGCUCAACCUGGGAACUGCAUCCAAAACUGGCAAGCUAGAGUACGGUAGAGGGUGGUGGAAUUUCCUGUGUAGCGGUGAAAUGCGUAGAUAUAGGAAGGAACACCAGUGGCGAAGGCGACCACCUGGACUGAUACUGACACUGAGGUGCGAAAGCGUGGGGAGCAAACAGGAUUAGAUACCCUGGUAGUCCACGCCGUAAACGAUGUCAACUAGCCGUUGGAAUCCUUGAGAUUUUAGUGGCGCAGCUAACGCAUUAAGUUGACCGCCUGGGGAGUACGGCCGCCAAGUUAAAACUC